ensembl:ncRNA F13B9.10 ncRNA
ACCACUACUAAAUCUAUGUAUUCGUCAGAAUUUUCAAUAGUUUCUGCUAGAAUGAAGAAGAAGAAUUGGUUUUGGUUCGGUUUUCUGGUUCAAGAGAGCAGUGUAGGGCAGGCUUUCCGAUUCUUAGCUUGAGUUCUUUUUUGUGCGGAGGCUCAGAACCUCGCCUUACCACUUCCUCUUUAGUUUGUACCCGUUUUCAUCCUCAGAAUGACGAACUAGC